rnacentral:rRNA from 1 species
UACGAAGGGAGCUAGCGUUGUUCGGAAUCACUGGGCGUAAAGCGCACGUAGGCGGAUGUGUCAGUCAGGGGUGAAAUCCCGGAGCUCAACUUCGGAACUGCCUUUGAUACAGCACGUCUUGAGUCCGAUAGAGGUGGGUGGAAUUCCUAGUGUAGAGGUGAAAUUCGUAGAUAUUAGGAAGAACACCGGUGGCGAAGGCGGCCCACUGGAUCGGUACUGACGCUGAGGCGCGAUAGCGUGGGGAGCAAACAGG